AUUGAACGCUGGCGGCAUGCUUUACACAUGCAAGUCGAACGGCAGCGCGGGCUUCGGCCUGGCGGCGAGUGGCGAACGGGUGAGUAAUGCAUCGGAACGUGCCCAGUAGUGGGGGAUAGUCCGGCGAAAGCCGGAUUAAUACCGCAUACGACCUGAGGGUGCAAGCGGGGGACCGAAAGGCCUCGUGCUAUUGUAGCGGCCGAUGUCGGAUUUGCUAGUUGGUGGGGUAAAGGCUUACCAAGGCGACGAUCCGUAGCUGGUCUGAGAGGACGACCAGCCACACUGGGACUGAGACACGGCCCAGACUCCUACGGGAGGCAGCAGUGGGGAAUGUUGGACAAUGGGGGCAACCCUGAUCCAGCCAUGCCGCGUGCGGGAAGAAGGCCUUCGGGUUGUAAACCGCUUUUGUUCGGGAAGAAAUCCUCUGGGCUAAUACCCCGGGGGGAUGACGGUACCGGAAGAAUAAGCACCGGCUAACUACGUG
rnacentral:rRNA from 1 species